rnacentral:rRNA from 1 species
GAGUUUGAUCCUGGCUACAGAUUGAACGCUGGCGGCAUGCCUUACACAUGCAAGUCGAACGGCAGCACGGGAGCUUGCUCCUGGUGGCGAGUGGCGAACGGGUGAGUAAUGCAUCGGAACGUAUCCUGGAGUGGGGGAUAACGUAGCGAAAGUUUACGCUAAUACCGCAUAUUCUGUGAGCAGGAAAGCGGGGGACCUUCGGGCCUCGCGCUCUUGGAGCGGCCGAUGUCGGAUUAGCUAGUUGGUGAGGUAAGGCUCACCAAGGCGACGAUCCGUAGCAGGUCUGAGAGGAUGAUCUGCCACACUGGAACUGAGACACGGUCCAGACUCCUACGGGAGGCAGCAGUGGGGAAUUUUGGACAAUGGGGGCAACCCUGAUCCAGCCAUGCCGCGUGAGUGAAGAAGGCCUGG